UACGUAGGGGGCAAGCGUUGUCCGGAUUUAUUGGGCGUAAAGAGCGUGUAGGCGGUUUGGUAGGUCCGCUGUGAAAACCCGAGGCUCAACCUCGAGACGCCGGUGGAAACCAUCAGACUAGAGUCCGGAAGAGGAGAGUGGAAUUCCUGGUGUAGCGGUGAAAUGCGCAGAUAUCAGGAAGAACACCCGUGGCUAAGGCGGCUCUCUAGUACGGUACUGACGCUGAGACGCGAAAGCGUGGGGAGCGAACAGG
rnacentral:rRNA from 1 species